rnacentral:misc_RNA from 1 species
AUCUAUUUAUAUCAAACAGAACAGGUGUUAAAUUACGACUUUACUCCGGUUUCAAAAGUUAGGCAGAUCUCAAUACUUGGCUUGUACAAAGUCCAAUCACGAGAGUUGUAUAUUAUUAUACAUACGUGGAUAUCAACAAGGUGUGAAAUGAAGCUACAUGUACUCUCAAUCUGAGUAUAUAUUUACAAGGUUACCUUACACUCAUCGAGGACACAGAACUUCAGAUGUUUAUACGGCUGGUACAACUUUAGUUAACAGUUUUGGAAACUCUACAUAAACUGUGGUUAUGGCCUAUACAUGGACAAAAAGCACGGAUGCGGAGUAUAAACAAACUAAAAAGUAUUUUAGUACCUGAGGUCACAAAGAACAUUCGGGACAUAGCCAUAUAGCCAUAUCAACAACAUAUGAUGUUACAAAUUGUUUACGAAUAUACUGAUUUAGGUCACGCUUGCCAAAAAACUUACAAUUAAAAAACACUGAGUGGUCAUGGCGUUUUAUAUGAAGUUAAACUUCUCGGGAUCUGAAAGGACGAUGAUCAUGUUUCUAUUAAUAGCUUCAUGUAUGUUAAUAAGAGACUGCAAUUGCCAACCACAACGACCAAGAUAUUUCAACAGAUCAUACACAGCUUCCAACGAUGAUUCAAGUUCAAGCGAGGAGUCAAUUGAGUCAAAUGAGUCCGAUGAAUCCGACGAAGGCAUACUUUAUACAGACUUUGGACCAUUGUACAUACUGGAUAAUGGCACAGGUCCCCUUCCAUAUCCAUUUAAUGAGACAAAAAGUGUUAUACCCCACAGCUCAAAACGUACAGUUGGAACAAUGGCACUGGUAGUGCUUGGAGGGGUUUUUCUCCUUCCUAUAUUACUCGGGUGCUAUAAGUUUUUCAAGAGACUCAACACGGCAUCUGAAUAUUGUUUUAAAGGUGGCGACGGCAUGGAGACAUGGGUUGUUGAUCAAAAUAUCGAGCGACUUUCUAGAAGAGACAGUGAUACCAGACAUACAUCUACACUGUCCCCUAAUGAACAACUGAGGUGUGCCCCUUCAACAAAUGAUUCUCAGACGAUGAGAGGAGCAGAAAGACCAUCAUCAAACAGAACUCCAUUCAGGGUACAGUUUGGAGGGAGGCACCUCUCGGGACCAGAGUAUGAAAUGAUGACGAUUGUAAUAAGAACUCAUCAAGAUGAAAAUUAUCCAUUGCCAAUAGAUUCUCUUCCUCCUUCUGGUGUCUCUCCAACAGCCACCGUGCCACAGCCGCCAUCUUAUGAACAAGCAACGCAACCUUGUUCAGACAUGUCUGUAUCCCAGGAAAACACUAUUGCUCAAAGUCCACCACCAUACACUAAGGAUAGUAAUAUCCCGUCUGAUGAUCCCAUUAAUCCACCAAUGGAUACUGGUAAUAAUUCAAAUGAAGAAGAGCCCCCGCCAUAUGUUGUAUCAGAAACACUUCUGCCACAGUCGCACAUAACAACAUCAUAAUUUACUAGCUCAAGAAUUUAUCAUAAGCUCAAGAACAGGACAGAAGGAAAACUAUAAUUCAUCUCGAUUUUAUUUAGAGCUCGAGAUCAUCGGUUAAUAAUUUGCCGGACUGAUAUGCACGUUGGGACCAAUAUACAGUAUGUUACUACAGACUUUAAGCUUGCAUAUAAGACCGAAACGGCAACCGAAACAUACAUAUAUAAAUAGCCCAUACACAAAUGCAUGAUUGUACAAUAGUUUAUUCUCACUCAAAUAAUCGUCUCGGCUACAGUGCAGUGUCUAAUUAGUCCGUUACUUAGCUUGACUACAAUACACAUCAUCGUGUCAUAUGCCAUUGAUAGUUAUAUACCUGGUUUUCAUGAUACAUAUUUUAAACAAGCUCGUUUCGUAAGAUAUUUGGAGCUAAAACUUGUAUGACAUACAUUAUUUUCUUCAGAGAGCAUCAUUAAAUACUGCUUAUCCACACCA